ensembl:lncRNA
AGAUUUAACUGAUUGGAUGAUGGAAACCAGCUCUCAAGCAGUAAUAGGAGGAGAGGAAUGGAUUCAAGCCCAAGGAAAUUUAAUCCUUUUCUGACCCCUGGCCUGUCUCAUCCAGGAACUAGAUGACCAACACCUUCCUGAAGGCUAUGGAAUGGAAGAUGAAUGAACGGCUGGGUUUUCCCCACAGGCUGGAAAAAAGUGAGCCAGAACCUGGCACAUUGUAGGAAGGCAUCUGACAGUGAUCUCUUUCACCGAAGAGAAGAUAUCAUUGAAGAAUUCCAAAGAACUCACAAAAGAGAAGUGGAUUCCCAUUAGUAGAACCAGAAAAGCUUAUCUAGAGUCUUGAAGGUUAAGUCUUAUUUCCUGGCUCCUAAAUUUGGCACAGUGCCUGAUACCCUGUAAUUAUA